GAUGAACGCCGGCGGUGUGCCUAAUACAUGCAAGUCGAACGCGUUGGCCCAAUUGAUUGAUGGUGCUUGCACCUGAUUGAUUUUGGUCGCCAACGAGUGGCGGACGGGUGAGUAACACGUAGGUAACCUGCCCAGAAGCGGGGGACAACAUUUGGAAACAGAUGCUAAUACCGCAUAACAGCGUUGUUCGCAUGAACAACGCUUAAAAGAUGGCUUCUCGCUAUCACUUCUGGAUGGACCUGCGGUGCAUUAGCUUGUUGGUGGGGUAACGGCCUACCAAGGCGAUGAUGCAUAGCCGAGUUGAGAGACUGAUCGGCCACAAUGGGACUGAGACACGGCCCAUACUCCUACGGGAGGCAGCAGUAGGGAAUCUUCCACAAUGGGCGCAAGCCUGAUGGAGCAACACCGCGUGAGUGAAGAAGGGUUUCGGCUCGUAAAGCUCUGUUGUUAAAGAAGAACACGUAUGAGAGUAACUGUUCAUACGUUGACGGUAUUUAACCAGAAAGUCACGGCUAACUACGUGCCAGCAGCCGCGGUAAUACGUAGGUGGCAAGCGUUAUCCGGAUUUAUUGGGCGUAAAGAGAGUGCAGGCGGUUUUCUAAGUCUGAUGUGAAAGCCUUCGGCUUAACCGGAGAAGUGCAUCGGAAACUGGAUAACUUGAGUGCAGAAGAGGGUAGUGGAACUCCAUGUGUAGCGGUGGAAUGCGUAGAUAUAUGGAAGAACACCUGUGGCGAAGGCGGCUACCUGGUCUGCAACUGACGCUGAGACUCGAAAGCAUGGGUAGCGAACAGGAUUAGAUACCCUGGUAGUCCAUGCCGUAAACGAUGAGUGCUAGGUGUUGGAGGGUUUCCGCCCUUCAGUGCCGGAGCUAACGCAUUAAGCACUCCGCCUGGGGAGUACGACCGCAAGGUUGAAACUCAAAGGAAUUGACGGGGGCCCGCACAAGCGGUGGAGCAUGUGGUUUAAUUCGAAGCUACGCGAAGAACCUUACCAGGUCUUGACAUCUUGCGCCAACCCUAGAGAUAGGGCGUUUCCUUCGGGAACGCAAUGACAGGUGGUGCAUGGUCGUCGUCAGCUCGUGUCGUGAGAUGUUGGGUUAAGUCCCGCAACGAGCGCAACCCUUGUUACUAGUUGCCAGCAUUAAGUUGGGCACUCUAGUGAGACUGCCGGUGACAAACCGGAGGAAGGUGGGGACGACGUCAGAUCAUCAUGCCCCUUAUGACCUGGGCUACACACGUGCUACAAUGGACGGUACAACGAGUCGCGAACUCGCGAGGGCAAGCAAAUCUCUUAAAACCGUUCUCAGUUCGGACUGCAGGCUGCAACUCGCCUGCACGAAGUCGGAAUCGCUAGUAAUCGCGGAUCAGCAUGCCGCGGUGAAUACGUUCCCGGGCCUUGUACACACCGCCCGUCACACCAUGAGAGUUUGUAACACCCAAAGUCGGUGGGGUAACCUUUUAGGAGCCAGCCGCCUAAGGUGGGACAGAUGAUUAGGGUG
rnacentral:rRNA from 2 species